rnacentral:rRNA from 1 species
UGAGGAAUAUUGGGCAAUGCCCGCAAGGGUGACCCAGCAACGCCGCGUGGAGGAUGAAUGUCGUAAGAUUGUAAACUCCUGUUAGAGGGGAAGAAUAGUACCGGUUGGACCGGUAUAUGACUGUACCCUCAGAGAAAGCCCCGGCUAACUACGUGCCAGCAGCCGCGGUAAUACGUAGGGGGCAAGCGUUGUCCGGAUUUACUGGGUGUAAAGGGCGCGCAGGCGGGAUAAAAAGUCAGUGGUGAAAUCCUACAGCUUAACUGUAGAACUGCCUUUGAUACUUUUAUUCUUGAGUUCGGGAGAGAGAGACGGAAUUCCAGGUGUAGUGGUGAAAUACGUAGAUAUCUGGAAGAACACCAGUUGCGAAGGCGGUCUCUUGGUCCGACACUGACGCUGAGGCGCGAAAGCUAGGGGAGUGAACG